rnacentral:misc_RNA from 1 species
CACCGGUUGUAUGCCGUACGAGAGAUACUCGUAUUCAUCAUUUUCACGAGCGACGCACUUAAACGUGGUGCUGCUGCUGCUGGUGCUGCUGCUGUUGCGACGUUUUUCCUAUUUUUCUUUCUACUUAUUUUUUCUCAUUCUCUUUUAUCUCUCGCAAUCUUUAACUCUCGCUAUCAUCGUACUCUCCGAUAUCCUCCUACAUAAGAUAUUUUCUAAUUAUAUUUUAUCUCUUCGAGAUAUUAAAAAAAAAUGCGCCCACGCACGUUUAAUUAUUCAUAAAGAUAAUUUUCUAUUUUCUUUGUUUUGUUUUUUUCUUCUUCUUCUUCUUCUUUUCGUAAAUUGAUCUCUUUGAUCUCGAAAAAUACAAUAGAAAAAAAUAUUUAUUUGUGAGAGAAGAGAGAGGGAAAAAGUUUCAAUGGUAAAGUGGAAGGGGAAAAAAAGGAAAAAAUCAAAAUAUAAUUUAGGAAAGUACGGGUGCGGUGAGUUACGGUGCGAUACGGUGCGGUGCGGUGCGGUGCGGUGCGGUUCGGUGCGGUGCAGUGGCGGGCAAAGUAAACGGCGCCGUGCGUGCGGCGCUGUGCGUUGAUAGACAGCGCAGUUCAGUGCAGUCACAUUCAAAUUCUAUCGAAGAAGAAGAAGAAGAAGAAGAAGAAGAAGAAGAAGAACAAAAACAACGUUUUUUUAAUCUACGGUUAGGUGAUUCGAGUAUUCGAGAGAAGGGGUAUAUUUAGGGGAAUAAUACUGAUCUAAAAAAUCGAUCAAUACGGGUAAUCGGGAACCAAAGGAGUUGGACGGGUCGGGGAGUUCGAGUUCGAGUUCAAGUUCACGAUUGGACUUGGACGCGAGCUCGGUCAAGGAUUUAUCCACUAUUAACAUCGAUAAAACAACAACAACAACAACAACAGCAACAACAUUCGGUGAUAAUUCGGAGAGUAGA